ensembl:lncRNA
AUGAGGGCGGGGCCUGAGGGCGCUGUGUGGAGGGGAGGAGCCUGGAGGACAGACCCAGGGAGCUGGGAGUCUGGAUCUUCACUUCGGGGCAAGUUGGGAGGACGUCUGCCUCGGUGGAGUUUUGUUGGGUCACAGUCGUGCUCGUUCAUUUGCAUGUUGUCUGCAACCGCUGCUGAGCGACAACCGUGGACCUGCGAGGAAGACCACACGGCCUGCAAAGCCUGAAAUGCGUGCUGUCUGACCUGUCACGAGAGAAGUCUGCAAACCCCUGCUUUAUACGGUCAUAUCUUUUAAAGCAGUUAAAAGAUGGAAUGAGUAACUUGCUUUGACCAAAUCUGCGAAGUUUACCUCCUCGAUCCGUGCACCUCCAUCCCGGCUCACUGCUUUCAGACCCGGUCUCGAUGCCUCCCCAGCUCAGUGACUGUGGGUCCUCCCCUGACCUUUGCUUGUGCUCCCAGACCC